rnacentral:tRNA from 1 species
GCCUUCGUGGUGUAAUGGUCAGCACACUGAGCCGGUAUUUCAGAGGUCCGCGGUUCGAUCCCUGGCGAAGGCA